GUGUUCUUUCACGGGGUGGGCGUGUAGGUCAUAAAACGACGAUGUCAAGGACGUUCUCCGCUCUUCCCGUACUCGUAGUCGCCUCCAAAUUGCGGGCCGCUGCGGUCGCAACCCUGAAAACGCGUCCCCCCGGGUUGCCCUUCUUCCUCCUUUUCGCCACGGGGUCGUCCUAAAAAGCUUCUCCGAAGUGGGGGGCUGCUUCCCAAUAUUCGACAAACACAACAAUUGUGUUGUGAGCAUGGACGAGCACGUGGAACUCACUCCGGCUGUGCGUCGCCUGUUGCUGGGCGUGCUUACGAACGGCGGGAACGAUCUCAAUGGUAAGUGCUACGUACUUCACACUGAUAAUAAAUUCUGCCCGUAAUGAUAAAUUUUGAUAGCUCCGCGUGAAGGCUGGUCACAUAGUCGUACGGUAGGUAGGUGCACGUGGCAACGACCGCAAUCGGCGCUCGCAAAAAUGCGGCACGUUCUGAGCAGGACUUUUUUUUCCAUCUGAGUAGUUACGUACCUGCCGCCUUAGAAGUCCUACUGCUUUAGAAUAUCACAGGCGCGUCGGAAUUUUCUCAACGCUCACCAAGCAUAUCUGCUUUACCACCUUUGCUAAAAAUGCACGGCGAGCUCCCUGUGUUCGCACAUGAAUACGUGCAUGAAAAAUUUACUAGAGAAGUAACGCUUUCUUGGUGCUAAUUGACCUCUAUUCUUUUGGCGUUAACCCGCAAAUGUUUUUUUUUUAAUGUAUUUGAAGGUGCUACCGAGUGUGACGCCGCCGACGUUCUGACACCUCCACAGAGCGCAUCUCUAGGAAAUGAUUCUGCAGCAUCCAGCGGAUCGUCAAGAAGUGAGGCUGGCCAGCCAAGGGCUCCUGCACGUGCUGCAGGGUGUGAGUGGACGAGUGGUGAGACAAAGCUGCUGCUUGACCUAUACGCCUCAUAUUUUCCAAGUCGGCCCUCUAAAAAAAUUCCGCAACAAGAAGGCCAUGUUUGAAAGAAUCGCCACAGAGAUCAAAGAUAAACUCAGUGUAACACGGACUGUGAGCAGUGCUGCUCUAGAUACAAAACCGUACUGAAAAGAAAAAGUGUGGCAGCUGGCAACAAUAACAAGUCUGGCAAUUCCCCACAAGAAGUCCCCUACGAGGAUGAACUCGAAAAAAUCAAGUGGCUGGAUGACAGCAUAGAACCAGAAGUGGUACGUGAUGCAAGUGGAGUGGUGUC
rnacentral:lncRNA from 1 species